AUUGAACGCUGGCGGCAGGCUUAACACAUGCAAGUCGAGCGGGGUGAUGGUGCUUGCACUAUCACUUAGCGGCGGACGGGUGAGUAAUGCUUAGGAAUCUGCCUAUUAGUGGGGGACAACAUCUCGAAAGGGAUGCUAAUACCGCAUACGUCCUACGGGAGAAAGCAGGGGAUCACUUGUGACCUUGCGCUAAUAGAUGAGCCUAAGUCGGAUUAGCUAGUUGGUGGGGUAAAGGCCUACCAAGGCGACGAUCUGUAGCGGGUCUGAGAGGAUGAGCCGCCACACUGGGACUGAGACACGGCCCAGACUCCUACGGGAGGCAGCAGUGGGGAAUAUUGGACAAUGGGGGGAACCCUGAUCCAGCCAUGCCGCGUGUGUGAAGAAGGCCUUAUGGUUGUAAAGCACUUUAAGCGAGGAGGAGGCUCUUUUGGUUAAUACCCAGAAUGAGUGGACGUUACUCGCAGAAUAAGCACCGGCUAACUCUGUGCCAGCAGCCGCCGCGGUAA
rnacentral:rRNA from 1 species